AACGAACGCUGGCGGCAUGCCUAACACAUGCAAGUCGAACGAGACCUUCGGGUCUAGUGGCGCACGGGUGCGUAACGCGUGGGAACCUGCCCUUAGGUUCGGAAUAACUCCCCGAAAGGGGUGCUAAUACCGGAUAAUGUCUUCGGACCAAAGAUUUAUCGCCUUUGGAUGGGCCCGCGUUGGAUUAGCUAGUUGGUAGGGUAAAAGCCUACCAAGGCGACGAUCCAUAGCUGGUCUGAGAGGAUGAUCAGCCACACUGGGACUGAGACACGGCCCAGACUCCGACGGGAAGGAGGAGUGGGUGAUAGUGGACAAGGGGGUAAGGUCUGAUACCGCUAUGCCGCGUGAGUGAGGAAGGCGUUGGGGAAGUAAAGCUCUCUGACCCGGGAUGAGAAUGACAGUACCGGGAGAAUAAGCACCGGCUAACUCCGUG
rnacentral:rRNA from 1 species